UCAUAUAAUUAAAAUUUUCAAAGAAUAAAAAAAUGCGGAAGGAGGAAAAUAGUGUAGGCAGUAUUUCGAAAUAAAGUCAGAGCAGAACCAGGAUGACGAAUCAUCUUCACCGUCUAAGCGUGCCCGAGGAAAAAUAAAGAUAACACGGGAACAGUUUAGAAAAUCUUGCGUCAAACUGGUGACAUUAAAUGGCCGACCUUUCUCGCUCUUCAAGGAUGAAGGAUUUCGGGAAAUAAUUGAUCCCAUCUUAGAGACUUUUCCGGAAAUGGAAAAAUGUACGAUUUCUCCCGAGAUACUGGAAGAUGAAGUAUCCUAAGAAACUGCAGCAAUAAGGAAACAAAUAGAGGACAGAACAUCUUUCUGAUUUGCGUCCGAUGUGGGGCUCACACACUUCAGCUAUAUGUAACAGACGUUUUAAAGGAGAAGCUGGUGCAAACUAUUGAUAAGGCACGGACAGUCGUGAAGGUACUUAGAAUGGAGACAAAGGGAAAGAUUAUGAUUAACUGUGGUUGUAAGAAACCAGUGCUCGAUAUGCCUACACGAUGGAUCAAAACAGA